UCGGAUCGGAGCCUGCAACCCGGCUCCGUGAAGCUGGAUUCGCUAGUAAUCGCGCAUCAGCCAUGGCGCGGUGAAUACGUUCCCGGGCCUUGUACACACCGCCCGUCAAGCCAUGGGAGCCGGGGGCGCCUGAAGUGCGGUACCGCGAGGGCCGCCCAAGGGCGAGACCGGUGACUGGGGCUAAGUCGUAACAAGGUAAC
rnacentral:rRNA from 1 species